GACAGAGGGUGCAAACGUUUGUUCGGAAUUACUGGGCGUAAAGAGCUCGUAGGCGGUCUGUUGCGUCGGCUGUGAAAACCCGGGGCUCAACUCCGGGCCUGCAGCCGAUACGGGCAGACUAGAGUUCGGCAGGGGAAACUGGAAUUUACGGUGUAGCAGUGAAAUGCGUAGAGAUCGUAAGGAACACCGGUGGCGAAGGCGGUCUGCUGGGGCAGUUGCUGACACUGAGGCGCGACAGCGUGGGGAGCAAACAGG
rnacentral:rRNA from 1 species